rnacentral:rRNA from 1 species
AUUUAAAGAAAGCGUAACAGCUCACUGGUCUAAAUAAGGGUCUUUGCGCCGAAAAUGUAACGGGGCUAAAGCCAUGCACCGAAGCUGAGGAUACGUCGCAAGACGUGUGGUAGCGGAGCGUUCCGUAAGCCUGUGAAGGGAUACCCGUGAGGGGUCCUGGAGGUAUCGGAAGUGCGAAUGUUGACAUGAGUAACGAUAAAGAGGGUGAGAGACCCUCUCGCCGAAAGACCAAGGGUUCCUGCUUAAAGUUAAUCUGAGCAGGGUUAGCCGGCCCCUAAGACGAGGCGGACACGCGUAGUCGAUGGGAACCACGUUAAUAUUCGUGGGCCUGGUGGUAGUGACGGAUCGCUUAACUUGUUCACACUUAUUGGAUUGUGUGGGCGGGGACGCGGUUCCAGGAAAUAGCUCCACCGUAUAGACCGUACCCGAAACCGACACAGGUGGUCAGGUAGAGUAUACCAAGGCGCUUGAGAGAACUAUGCUGAAGGAACUCGGCAAAUUGCACGCGUAACUUCGGAAGAAGCGUGACCCCAAGGGACGCAAGUCUGUUGGGGUGGCACAGACCAGGGGGUAGCGACUGUUUAUCAAAAACACAGGGCUCUGCGAAGUCGCAAGACGACGUAUAGGGUCUGACGCCUGCCCGGUGCUGGAAGGUUAAGAGGAGGGGUGCAAGCUCUGAAUCGAAGCCCCAGUAAACGGCGGCCGUAACUAUAACGGUCCUAAGGUAGCGAAAUUCCUUGUCGGGUAAGUUCCGACCUGCACGAAUGGCGUAACGACUUCCCCGCUGUCUCCAGCAUAGACUCAGUGAAAUUGAAUUCCCCGUGAAGAUGCGGGGUUCCUGCGGUCAGACGGAAAGACCCCGUGCACCUUUACUAUAGCUUUACACUGGCAUUCGUGUCGGCAUGUGUAGGAUAGGUGGUAGGCUUUGAAGCAGGGACGCCAGUUCUUGUGGAGCCAUCCUUGAAAUACCACCCUUAUCGUCAUGGAUGUCUAACCGCGGUCCGUUAUCCGGAUCCGGGACAGUGUAUGGUGGGUAGUUUGACUGGGGCGGUCGCCUCCGAAAGAGUAACGGAGGCGCGCGAUGGUGGGCUCAGACCGGUCGGAAAUCGGUCGUCGAGUGCAAUGGCAUAAGCCCGCCUGACUGCGAGACUGACAAGUCGAGCAGAGACGAAAGUCGGUCAUAGUGAUCCGGUGGUCCCGCGUGGAAGGGCCAUCGCUCAACGGAUAAAAGGUACGCCGGGGAUAACAGGCUGAUGACCCCCAAGAGUCCAUAUCGACGGGGUUGUUUGGC